GAGGCGAGACUGUGAAGUGGAGCAAAUCUCAAAAAUAACGUCUCAGUUCGGAUUGUAGUCUGCAACUCGACUACAUGAAGCUGGAAUCGCUAGUAAUCGCGAAUCAGCAUGUCGCGGUGAAUACGUUCCCGGGUCUUGUACACACCGCCCGUCACACCAUGGGAGUCGGAAAUGCCCGAAGUCGGUGACCUAACCGAGAGGGAGGAGCCGCCGAAGGCAGGUUCGGUAACUGGGGUGAAGUCGUAACAAGGUAAC
rnacentral:rRNA from 1 species